UUACACUGUUUACAAUUGCGGUAAUUGUCGUGCUUGCAUAAAUAUUUUUUGAACUUUGGUUAAGGUGCCGGGUUUUAUGGGAAAUACAUUGCCUUGAUAUUGAAACGGGCGGGCGGUGGAAAGAAGUGAAAAUGUAAGAAUGCGACAUUAUUCUACCCGCAAAAUUUUAAUGGAAGUGCAUUAUUUGAUUUAUUUAUUUCCAUGGAGGCGGCGUUACGUGAGUGUCUGCUAUAUGUCCGUCUAUCCCGCUCCCUCGAUCGGCCAGUCUCUGAGGAAUAAUGGGUCGCAGUACACACAUAAACACGAGUAAAAUUGUUCAAACGAGAUUGAAAUAACGACAGCAACAAUGCUGUACACAGAACAAAAUUGUGCUGAUAUAUAAAAAAAUAAAUUUUCAUUUCAAUUUAGUUAUUUUAAACAACUUGUUUUUUCUAUUAAUUAGUUUUUUGACAAUUAAAGUGAUAUGCACAUUUGAAAGAAAUAUAAGUACCAUAA